rnacentral:ncRNA from 1 species
CAGCUUUGAAGCAAGAGGCUGUUUCAAGUCGCAGGUUCUUGUGGAGCUUGACCGAGGGUUGUGUAUUACCUCAACUUGAAUAGGCUUAUUAAGCUGAAAGAAAAUGCUCAUC